CGAGAGGUGGCCGAGUGGCUUAAGGCGCCAUAUUGAUAAUAUGGUUAGACUACAAGGUCUCGCGGGUUCGAAUCCCGCCCUCUAAA
rnacentral:tRNA from 1 species